AUUGAACGCUGGCGGCAGGCCUAACACAUGCAAGUCGAACGAGUGGCGGACGGGUGAGUAAUGUCUGGGAAACUGCCUGAUGGAGGGGGAUAACUACUGGAAACGGUAGCUAAUACCGCAUACCAUCAGAUGUGCCCAGAUGGGAUUAGCUUGUUGGUGGGGUAACGGCUCACCAAGGCGACGAUCCCUAGCGGGUCUGAGAGGAUGACCAGCCACACUGGAACUGGGCAACGGUCCAGACGCCUACGGGAGGCAGCAGUGGGGAAGAUUGCACAAGGGGCGAAAGCCUGAGGCAGCCAUGCCGCGUGUAGGAAGAAGGCCUUCGGGUUGUAAAGUACGUUCAGCGGGGAGGCGUUACCCGCAGAAGAAGCACCGGCUAACUCCGUGCCAGCAGCCGCGGUAAUUC
rnacentral:rRNA from 1 species